rnacentral:rRNA from 1 species
AGUUGGGGGAACUCUWGAGWGACCGCCGGUGUUAAACCGGAGGAKGGCGGGGACGACGUCAAGUCAUCACGGCCUUUAUGCCCAGGGCUGCACACGUGCUACAAUGGGGCGGACAAAGGGACGCGAACGCGCGAGCGGGAGCAAAUCUCAAAAACCGUCCCCCAGUUCAGAUUGCAGGCUGCAAUUCGCCUGCAUGAAGCCGGAAUCGCUAGUAAUCGCAGAUCAGCUAUGCUGCGGUGAAUGUGUUCCUG